rnacentral:rRNA from 1 species
UGGAUGGGGGGGGAGGGAGGGGGGGUAGUGCGAAGGGUCGAGAAGGGAAGCGGAAGGACGGGGCGGAAAGCGUGCGAAGGCGGUUUUGUAAGCGAGAUGGGAAAGCGCCGGGCUCAACCGGGGAAUUGCAGUUAAAACUGUCCAGCUAGAGUCUUGUAGAGGGGGGUAGAAUGCCAGGUGUAGCGGUGAAAUGCGUAGAGAUCUGGAGGAAUACCGGUGGCGAAGGCGGCCCCCUGGACAAAGACUGACGCUCAUGCACGAAAGCGUGGGGAGCAAACAGGAUUAGAUACCCGAGUAGUC